rnacentral:rRNA from 1 species
AGAACGAACGCUGGCGGCAUGCCUAACACAUGCAAGUCGAACGAGACCUUCGGGUCUAGUGGCGCACGGGUGCGUAACGCGUGGGAAUCUGCCCUUGGGUUCGGAAUAACAGUUGGAAACGACUGCUGAUACCGGAUGAUAUCGAAAGAUCAAAGAUUUAUCGCCCAGGGAUGAGCCCGCGUAGGAUUAGCUAGUUGGUGAGGUAAAGGCUCACCAAGGCGACGAUCCUUAGCUGGUCUGAGAGGAUGAUCAGCCACACGUGGGACU